UAAUCCAGAAAGUGAACUAAGUGGUCAAUAUUCUGUUGUUGAUGUUAUCUCAAUUCUCAUCCACUGCAUAUGUGAUUCUAGUAGCACAUGAACUUUCUAGAGGGGAUUGAGAAAGGAGAUCAUGUAACUAAUAUUAGUUAUGAGGGGCCAAAGUCAAUAUAAAAUGAAAAUAUGGUUAAAAGUUGACAUAAAAAUGCGUGGUUAUAUUUAUAAUUCAAAAAGCUUUG
rnacentral:misc_RNA from 1 species